UCUAAUCUAAUCCCGAAAUUAGCGCUAACCUCUCCAGCCGCACAAGUCUCCCACAGCGCGGCGGCGCCCGCUCCCCCUCGCCUCUCGGGCCGCACCGGUCUCUUCCCUCACCGCAAAGCGGGCGCACGCAGGGCGUCUGCCGGCGAAUGAGGCCGCGAGCGAUCCCAUGGCGCUGCGGCGCCUGCAUCCCUCGCCUCUCCGAUCACACCGGUCUGCUGCCUAAGCACGAAGUGGGUGCAUGUAGGGCGGCCGCCGGCGAGCGAUCCCGUGGCGCUAUGGCGCCUGCAUCCCUCGCUUUUCCGAUCGCACCGGUAUGCUCCCUAAGCACGAAGUGGGUGCAUGCAGGGUGGCCGCCGGCGAACGAGACCGCGGCGCGGCGGUCUGCUCCCUGCCGGUUUGAGAUCUGCACUGGUCUCCUCCCUGCUGGCCGUUCUACGGGGAAGAUCGCUGAGUACUUCGUCUAAAUCUGCUGCAAACGACCAGCACUCUGUGCCAAGAAGUGGAAGUAUUUCACCCCUCACACGUGCUCCCUGCCUUACAUGUGAUGUAAGUAUCGCAUCCCUCACAUGUGCUUCUUGACUCGCUUUCUUCUGCAACAUAGAGUAUAUGUGGAUCAAAUUACUUCAUGUCUGCUAACAAAAUUAGAUAUCCUAUGUGACAGUGGGUUAUUUUUCUCAUUCGAAAUUGAUGAGCUGGGAGAUAAUGCCACAUUAUAAUAAGUAUUUAUGUUUGAAGUGUGUAUACUAUCCUGAUAAAAUCCUCAGAACCCAGAAGUGUAUGCAUUCUUGGUUUCAUGCACCAUAUUAUUAUAGUUCAUGUUUGAGAGAUUGGUUUUGAGCAUGUGAAUCUGAGCUUCACAUACUUUGCCUGAGAAACUCCCGUCUUCUGCGGGAAGGACAGCAGCCUCUGGCAGAGCAGGACGACAACAGCUUCACAGCGUCACCGAAGUCCGGGCGGUGGCUAAGUUUGGCAUUAGCCUAGCUGCUAUCCAGAAGUUGGACAUGAAGGGGAGAGGCAGGGGUCAGCAAACGCAAAAGGGCAGGGGUCACCAUAGUUGUUAAUUCGUUUUUUCUGAAUUUAUAGCGAUCUGAAUUUCUGUCAACUGAAGAUCAUUCAUAGUAGUGGUCUAUUGAUAGUACUGGUCAAGGUGUCAAAUACUUUGUUUUUGCUUUGCAUCAAACAUUUGUGCUCUGGAGUUUAGAGUCAGCCCCAGUUUAGAGUCAGCCCCACCUUGAUUUUCCUCCGUCCUCCGCCACUGCUCCUAAAUGUGUUGGAAUUCAGCAGGUCAUGAAAAUGGACGGAUGUGAUAGUGAAGGAACCAGAGGGAAUGAUAUUACUGUAUUAGCAAUGGUGUUGAUACAUAAGUACUCCACCUAUUCUUAUUUUUUGUAUCUUUUCACAAAAAACUAUCAAACUUGUGUACUGUCAUGCCUUCUAAUUUUUCUUGUUAAUUUGCACACAGGUAGAAGAAAAUAAAAAUGAGGAAGAUACUAAAAGACACAUAGAAGUAACACAUAUGAGAAAUUCAUACACCCAUCAUGUCUUGGAUGAGAAACAGUAUGAAAACUUCAAUGAAAAAUUCAGCACUGCCAAACCAUUUGGAAAUGCCACCAGAAAUGAAAAACAAUUAGGGGGUAGAUGCACUAGAGGAAGGAAAGAGGAGCUCCAGUUUGAUCCCAUACUUUGUGUCAUAAUUUCAUAUCGAUAAAUUCUUUUGUCUCAAUGAUUACUAUAUAAUUCUCAUUGACGAACUUUGGGCGGUACCUUGAUGAAUUUACUUCAAAUCUUUACUAUUAAAGGGUACGUUUUGUUUUGGUAUGUUCACCUCCUUCGCUACAUGGGACCUAUCCAUCAUUUUCAUUUUCAAUAUAUUAAGUGAAGCUUUCUCUUUUUUAUUUAAUUUGAUUAUGCUAGAAAGGAGGAAUACAUAGUUUUGCUACGUAAUAGUAUAAAUAAGAUAAGGAAGAGGGUAUUGCAACUAGCAAGGUAGCCUAUUCACAGUAUGACCGUGAACUUCCUUAAAAUAUGUAUGGUUGUUGUAUCCUAUCACACUAUAAUUUUUCCAUGAUUUGUGUGCGGUUUGUAAGACUCAAAUCUUCAAAAAGCACACGUCUUUUCAUAUUGAAAAUGUACCUCUGUUGUAACUUUGACUGUCAGUCAUUCAGUUCGAAGUGAAAACACACAGAAAACUGUACCGUUAAGUGGUGUUGUCUCCUAUGCAUGGAUCAACCUGGAUGGAGGGCGAUGGAUCGGGGACGUAGCGGCAGUGGCCAGUUGAGUGCAUGAUAUUACUUUGGAAGCAAACUGCAACUUUCUUGAGGUGCCCAAUACUAAACUGGGAGGUGCUGGGAGGCUGAUGCUUAACUACAUCGGGAUGAAACUGAUAUCGAGAUAUUCAUUUUUGGGGGGAUCUUUUUGUGGUGAUGAUAGCUACCCUUGGUAUUGGAGAAGACCGAGGAGGAUAGAUAGUCAAUGGUGCAGGCUGCAUGACUUGGCCGAAGGUUGGCGCAAGUAUUCAUGGGGCCAGAGAAACGGGAGUUGGAACUUCCGAAAAAUGCUUUUAACUGACAUCUGUUGUAGCUCCACAAGCUUAAAAUGAGAGUAGGGUUGUGCAAAACAUCGUCACAUAUUUUGAUUUAUUGUCAGUUCCUUUCAUGAUUAAAAAAAUUGUAUGCCCCUUACAACACUUUUUAUGAUAUACUUCUUGGCGAAGUAUCAGGUGAAAAUGACUAUUCGGUGAAAAUCUAAAAAUUUCUAUCGUGGACUGUUGGAUCAGGAGGGGGCGUCAUGGAUUACAGGUGGGAUUCCUAACAAUCCACUUAAACGCACAUUAGCAAAUAAACCCCUCUCUCUAUUCAACUACUCCAGGAUUUAGUUACCCCGUAUGAGAAAAUUGACCGCCUCCAUAACCUAGCCGCACCAUGGCGACUCGACGACGCGGCGCUCUCUCCAGGCGAGGGUGGCUCAAUGGCCGGGUGGCUACCCCUCCCGCAUCUGCGACGGUGCGUCGACGCUUCGGGCGACGGCGACUGGUGGUCAGGGCGCUGCCUCACACACAUGUGACUCAGCGGCCGGAGCUCCGCCCGCACACGACGGUGCUCGACGCCUCGGGUGAUGCUACGGCCGCGCAGCUGCCCCUCAUGCUACGGCGACUCGGUCGCCGCGAGGCUUCCCGCACAACGGUGGCUUGAUGGCCGUCGUGAUGCCCUCAAGCGGCAGUGACAUAGACCCAAAACUUAUUAUGCAGUGGCUUGCUCCUGUUGUUUGAUUCUACAGCCCAAUGCUUGCUUCUUAGUAUUAAUUCAGAAGUUGUAUCUGAAUGUUGUAUUUUUUGGUGAAGCCUGUAAGCUUGCUUAUGUAGUCCAAAUUCUGAAGUUGCAUUGGCAUGCAAUCUGUAAUCUUUGGAUGUAUGAAUUUAGUUGAAUAAAUUUCCUGAGCUGGGCUAUUUUAAAUCAGUGAUUGACAAAAC